rnacentral:rRNA from 1 species
AUACGGAGGGUCCGAGCGUUAUACGGAAUCAUUGGGUUUAAAGGGUCCGUAGGCGGGAAUCUAAGUCAGUGGUGAAAUCUUGCAGCUCAACUGUAAAAUUGCCAUUGAUACUGGAUUUCUUGAAUUAGUGUGAAGUGAUUAGAAUGUGUAGUGUAGCGGUGAAAUGCAUAGAUAUUACACAGAAUACCAAUUGCGAAGGCAGAUCACUAACACUAUAUUGACGCUGAGGGACGAAAGCGUGGGGAGCGAACAGGAUUAGAAACCCUAGUAGUCC